rnacentral:rRNA from 1 species
AAGUGUGUAGGUAUGCUCCGCAGGCAAAUCCGCGGAGAUGAGCCGAGACACGAGUCCGUGGGCGCAAGCCCUGAAGCUGUUGAGCCACGGCUGCCAAGAAAAGCUUCUAAGUUUAGAUCGCGCGAGCCGUACCGCAAACCAACUCAGGUGGAUGGGAUGAAUAAUCCAAGGCGCUCGAGAGAACUCUGGCCAAGGAACUCGGCAAAUUGACCCCGUACCUUCGGAAUAAGGGGUGCUCCCCACGGUGAGACAAAUUCUUGUUCAGCCCCGGGGAGCCGCAGAGAAAUGGUGGUGGCGACUGUUUACUAAAAACAUAGGUCUGUGCGAAGUCCUACAGACGACGUAUACGGACUGACGCCUGCCCGGUGCCGGAAGGUUAAAAGGAGGAGUCAGCGCAAGCGAAGCUCCGAUUUGAAGCCCCGGUAAACGGCGGCCGUAACUAUAACGGUCCUAAGGUAGCGAAAUUCCUUGUCGGGCAAGUUCCGACCUGCACGAAUGGCGUAACGAUCUCCACGCUGUCUCGGCCAGAGACUCGGUGAAAUUGAAGUCGCGGUGAAAAUGCCGUGUACCCGCAGAAAGACGGAAAGACCCUGUGCACCUUUACUAUAGCUUGACAUUGGGUUUUGAACCUGCAUGUGUAGGAUAGGUGGGAGGCUGUGGAAGCUGUACGUCAGUAUGGCCGGAGCCACCCGUGAAAUACCACCCUUGUUUGUUCAGGACCCUAACUCGCAGCUGUAAUCCAGCGCGAAGACAGUGUCUGGUGGGUAGUUUGACUGGGGCGGUCGCCUCCUAAAGAGUAACGGAGGCAUGCAAAGGUUCCCUCAGGCUGAUUGGAAACCAGCCGCUGAGUGCAAGCGCAUAAGGGAGCUUGACUGCAAGAGAGACAUCUCGAACAGAUACGAAAGUAGGUGCUAGUGAUCCGGUGGUCCCGAAUGGAAGGGCCAUCGCUCAUUGGAUAAAAGGUACGCCGGGGAUAACAGGCUGAUCGCAUCCAAGAGUUCACAUCGACGAUGCGGUUUGGCACCUCGAUGUCGGCUCAUCACAUCCUGGGGCUGAAGCAGGUCCCAAGGGUACGGCUGUUCGCCGUUUAAAGUGGUACGCGAGCUGGGUUUAAAACGUCGUGAGACAGUUUGGUCCCUAUCUUCUGUGGGCGUAGGAGAAUUGAGAGGGUUUGUCCCUAGUACGAGAGGACCGGGAUGAACGCACCACUGGUGGAUCAGUUGUCGCGCCAGCGGCAUAGCUGAGUAGCUAUGUGCGGAAUGGAUAACCGCUGAAAGCAUCUAAGCGGGAAGCCAGCCUCGAGAUAAGUUCUCCCUGUCGCAAGACACUAAAGGGCCGAUGAAGACUACAUCGUUGAUAGGCCGGAGGUGGAAGCGCUGCGAAGCGUGGAGCUGACCGGUACUAAUAGCCCGUGCGCCUUAAAAG